CUGCGGCGCGACGCCUUAUCCCCCCUCCCCCUCGUUCCCACCGCUGAAAUCUUAUCCUCUCGACCUCUCGUCCUGUUUCUUCCUCUUCUUCCCCCUCCCUCUCACUUUCCUCAUCUUCAUUCGCGAGGCAACUGUGUCGACGGGUGACGUUGGAGACGAUGCACGGCAGGGUGUCUUGCUGCAAGAAGCUUCCGUCGUCCGGGCGCGCUCCGAUGCUGCCGGAGGAGGCGCUGUCGUGCUCGCCGCGCGCGCAAGCUGAGGGUUUUUUGCAAGGCAGGGGCUCGCUGCUGCUAGCCCGCACGAGCUGGCUCCAAGGGCCGGGCGCUACAACUUGAGGAGCUCCAAGCCGACUACCUGUUGUGGCUCUCCGGAGUUACUCAUGCGACGCGGGAAGGAAGUCGCCAUGGAACAACCCCGCCGCCUUGGAGCUCGCCCCGCCUCCGGCCCACCACCUCUCCGUCGGCCUCGAUCUGUCCGCCCCGCCGCUGGAUCCACGCCGGAGCAGCCGUAUCCGCCGCCCAGACCACCAACCAAGAGUUGCCUCUUGCCUGUCCUGCGGUCGGGAGGAGGACGACCGAGAGGAGCACCCAUUCAUCCGCCGCCUUGGAGCUCGUCCUGCCUUCGGGCCGCCACCUCUCCGUUGGGCUCGAUCCGUCCGUCCCGCCGCCCAGACCGCCAACCACGCGCCGCCUCUUGCCUAUCCUGUGGUUGCAGCUCGAAUAAUAAAAACUGCAGGGCCCUUUAUGUAAAAACGAAUCGUUAUUUGGGAUUAGCCACUUAACAAUAGGACCGCGGGUCGAAUUCUCAGAAACAGAUGGACUUUUAUGAAACAUCGCUACCCAAUUUUCUUUAUUAUUAGAUAAAGAUAAAGGUAAAGAUUGCUUCGGUUCAACCGCCAACAGUACAA